GAACACCCUUAUAUUUCUGCAAAAUGGUUUAGGAAGCGGUUACUCCAGUAUUGCUGAAAAGGAAAGAGAGAGGAAAUCAGAGUUAUGAAAUAUGGGGAGGAAAUGUUAGAAUAACCAUUUAAGAUUAACAGUGACAAGGAAUAGUGAAAAGGAAUAUUCAGUUUAAGAUUUCAAGACCAGCAUUUCUGAUUCACCGUCCCUGAGGUACUGCCUGCCCUGGGCAGCAGCCAGAAGCACUGGCUUGGUACGGACCCUUCGUGUUGUCUGGCUACAGAGCAUAGGCCAUCCCCGCUCAUGGAAGAACCCCACCAGGCAGACACAGAGUCGCUUCAGACAAGGGCAACGGGCAAGAGGAAGAAGAGUUCUCAGUUAGCAGUGCAGACGGUCUGCCACCUCAAGGACAUUCACGGAGCCGAGGUCCCCAUUUGAGGGUGAUGUGGUAGCAACUGCUUGCAGGGAGGCUGGCGCUCACCCUGCUGGUCUGGGAGCUCACGCAGCUCUCCACAGAACGCGUCACCUGCGCCGUGCAGAUGAGCGGCCGGAGGACCUGUGACGUUGCCAUCGUUUAGCUAAAGCCCUAACCAAGAAGCCAUGCAAGGCCUACCUGCCCGUCGGUGAGAACACGAACAAGUUCUGAUGGAUCUGAAAAGGACACCAGUACUGAUGGCGGCAAAAGCAGAGGCCACCUGGGAACUUCCUGCAAAUGCUGGGUGAGGAUGGGUCUGGGCACCUGGCCCUCACUGCGGGGAGGCCUGAGGCCCAGGAUGCAUCCACAACAGUACGUUGCUGAUGUGGCAAAGCCUGAAGCAGAGGUCACAAGGGGAUGCUCCUAGCUGCCUGGGCUGAGGAAAGCGGGUGCCUAAACUGCCUCCAGGCUGCAUGAGCCUGAAGCUGAGAAACCACAAGGGAACAGCUGGCCCAGGCCGACUUGUGUUUGGAGCAGCAAACAUUUAACCUCUAAAGGCUACUACUUCAAGGAACCGAGUCAGGAAAAGCUGACUAUUGGGUAAGUUUGGUUUCCAUUGAGUAGCACACCACCCAGCAAGCUCAGACAUCCUGUUUUGGUUUGCAGCCAAGGCACACUCUUCGCAUUUGAUCAUGUUUUAGGCCUCAGGAUGCCAAAAUUGGCAAAAUCCACCCUCCUCCUGGUUAUAUGCUCUGCCAAACCAACCAACCUCCCUUUCUCAGAGGCCUCAUGGAUGUUAGGCUGGGACUUCCUUCCCCUUACACUCGGACCUGGCAAGCUGGCAGCACCCUGCCCUGCUUGAUGAUCCCCACUAAGUCUCCCCCAAACUUGAAGCCUUUACAUCACAUCUUCUGGCUGGUCGCAGAACCUUCAAAGGAACACUCGGGGCCUCAUGGACUAGACUGGUCGCUAGCAAAGCCAUGCCCUAAAUAACUCUGCUUUAACGUACCCUGGAGAGAGAGAGAGGACAAGUCCCAGCUGUAAAGGAUAGGACCCAGAAGGUAAAGAGAGGUGGCCUACCUGAGACCAACCUAUGGAUGCAUGAACUGGCUGGUUCAACUAUUUGCUUUCACUAAAUUUUUGUUUUUUAAUGAACCAGGUAGCAAGGUUCUGGGACAAAUCCUUGUGGCUGGUAAAGACCAAGGAAGCACAGGUUUUUGAGAAUCCACAUCUAGGCAUUACCAAAGGCAGCCUUCCCUCAGCCUGUUAAGUCGGACCAAAGCAGAGCAUGGAGCCUAUCGAUGUCACACCUUGCGCCAGCUAACCUCCCCCUCCCCCCCGUGUGCACGGGUACCACACAUCGUUCACUUGCUGCUCUCAGAGACUGUCACAGAGCACAGCAGUGCAUGACACAAGGAGCUUUUUCGUUAGUGUCACAGAGCUAGCUCACUCGGUGGCAGUCACCUUUAGGCUAAAGCAUCUGGAUUUCAGGGAAUACUCACGUUAGUUGAUGGAUGUUGGAAGGCAUUGGAGGAAAACACCAUAGUUAGGACAGUUAAUGGCUUACACACUGUUGGUAAGACUGAUCUCGAACAUGCGCAUUUAUCAUAGUAACAUGGUGUUGGUUAGUGCCACGUUCAAAUAAAAAUAGUUCUAUACAAUAUGUUCAAUUGAUCAUGUGCUAUUUACAGAUUUUACAAAAACAUACGCACACGCGCGCGCGCGCACACACACACACACACACACCUGCCCUUACGUUCUCUACACCAGGCUAAAACAGGCCAGCAGAAACUUGCAUAAGAAGUAUCACAGAUGACAACUGGUACAUAUAUAUGAAUCCCUACGACUACCUAUGCAGCAGAACAGGAUCCUUCUUCCCCUCGAGCACAGUAAAGCUAAAGGUCUGAGCUAAGAACUUAAGAGAAAAUUGGACACAUCUGUCAGAUAGUUCAAGCUAAGCCACUUAAAAGUUAAAAACAAGACAGUUAUUUUUCUGUCCAUUUAAAAUGUUUUAUUUUCCUUUUUAAACUAGAUUGUGAAGUGCCACUGAAAUAGGCAAUGUUGGCAAAACAAUGUCUGUUACAAUAAAAUACAUUAGACAUUUAAAUAAAUAACCUUAAAAACUA